UCAGUUAUUCUCUCCUCUUUUCAAAAUUACAAUCAUUACCUGUUUUCAUUGGGAAGGUUACCAAAUCUUAGUUUUAUUUAGAAAGGUAGAUCAAACCAAACCUUUCCUCUUUUCAAAAUCAUUGUUAUGCUUUUUUUUUUCAGUGGGAAGUUUAUCAGAUGUUAUUUAGUUCUGUUUAGAAAGGCAUCACCAUCAUUAUCAAUCUUUUCAAUGGGAAGUUAAUCAGAUAAGUUUACAUGUAUAGUAUUCUUAUUUAGGAAGGCAGUUUAUAUGUAUAGUAUUCUUAUUUAGUUUCAUUUAGGAAGACAGGUUCCAUGUCAACAAACAUUAGGCUUAAGGCAGCAGAUGGCAGGCCACUAAGCCAUGUAAUGUGCCUUAUAUGUGGCUGCCAUUAGGCCUUUUGGAGCCCUGCUGUGUGUCGACGUGCUCCUUCCCUCACUGAUGUUGACACGUGUAUCCUGUGUGUGCUUGGGUGGGGGGGGGGUGAGCCUGUGAGGUCAAUCAGCACAGGUCACCAGCCUCGACUCUUCUGUCUCUAUAUUAUUGCUAUUUGUUGUCUUUUGAAAGUGUAAUUGUUGUUCUCUCAUUUUUUUCUUGACAUAAUUUUUGUACCUAGAUUUUCUACUGUUUAUCUGAUAUAUAAUUGUUAUUUCUUUGUUUCAGUGUUUGCAUUUUAUAUAUUCUCAAAAUUUCAGAGACAUUAUUUAUAGUUUUUUUUUCCAAUAUUCUUCAACUAUAUACACAUUUCAUCCCCUUGAUUUUGUGAAGGAAAUUUAGCAGAACUUUAUUGAGAUUACUAGAUAUUAAGAAAAUUAAUAUUAUUCCAUUAGUUCCCAUAAGUAAAAUAAAUUUUCCUCUACAGCUAUUCCACUCACAAGAUUUAACCCCUAAAUAAUUAUCAUGAUAGACAAGGUUACAGUAGGUUAGGUCAGGUGGGGAUAUGUGUCUUAGGAAGAAUAUUAGAUUAGAUUAGAUGGGUUAAAUUAGGUAAGGAUAUGUACCUUGGGAAGAAUAAUUUUGGGCAAAGUUAAAAUAGGUUAGCAAGAAUUCACCAUGGGGGGGAAUAAUAUUAGAUUAGAUUAGGUACGGGGAAAGUACCAUGAGAGGAAUAAUUAUAUGUUAAGUUACGUGGAUGAAGGUAAACACCAUGGGAGGAAUAGAAUAAUUUCAGGAAUUCAUAUAGAAACAGAAAAUAACAUACCAUACCCAUUACCAACUCCAAAGCUCACCUUCAGAAAUAAAUUCGAAGUUCAUUUAUGGAAGUUUUAGGCACACCACACACUUUUCUGGGGAGUAAUCUUGAGUGGGUCUUACAAGCCUGGGAAUUAAUGGCAGCCUUGCACACUCACUGAAUACACAGCAGAGCAACAAUUAUGGCCACAGUAAAGGGUCAGAUUAAUGCCUAUUGCCCAAGAUUUUUGUUAGAGGUGCUGUUUGUAUCCAAAGUUUCACCAUUGCUCUGUUUUCUUUUUUGCAUCCAGAGAGAGUGGGAGGGGGGAUUUGUGUAGGUGUGGCUGUGUGUUGCAGGGCUUGGGUAUAGUUGUGGGUGUGUGUUGCUCUAUGUUCCAAGGAGGGAGUGUUUCUGUGUAUUUGUAUGUUGCAGUAUUAAUAAACCAGUGUUGCUGUUUGUGUUGCUACCGAAUGUUUCUCCUUUCAGAAAUACCAGGAAGAGUUUCUAUGUAUAUGCAGGGCUUCUUUCUUUUAUUGGUGUGUAAAGUGAAGGAUGAACGGAUAUUAUAUAGUUGAGAGAGAAAGACACACAGAAAGGCAGACAGCUGAUAGACAGACAGACAGAUAUGCAGGUAGAAAAACAGACAGACAGACAGACAGAAAGACUUAUAGACAGGCAGACAGGUCAGGAAACAGAAAGGAAGGCCUAAAGAGACAGGCAGGCAAGCAGAAAGAUAUACAGAAAGCUUCAUAGACAGGCAGGGAUGCAGGAAGGGAUAUCAAAAAGAGACAACCAGGCAGACAGAAAGACAGACAGAGAGAGACAGGCAGGCAGGCAGAUAGACAGACAGAAACAGGCAGGCAGGCAGGAAGGAAGGCCAAAAAAGAGACAGGCAGACAGACAGAAAGACAGACAGAAACAGGCAGGCAGGAAUACCAAAAAUGAGACAGGCAGCCAGACAGAAAGGUUCAUAGACAGGCAGGCAGGUAGGA